CUAGGAUGGGUGACCUCCCGGGA
rnacentral:siRNA from 1 species